UACGUAGGGUCCGAGCGUUGUCCGGAAUUAUUGGGCGUAAAGGGCGCGUAGGCGGUUUGUUAAGUCGGCUGUGAAAGCCCGGGGCUCAACCUGGGAAUGGCAUUGGAAACUGGCGACCUAGAGUGCGGUAGAGGGUAGUGGAAUUCCCGGUGUAGCAGUGAAAUGCGUAGAGAUCGGGAGGAACAUCCGUGGCGAAGGCGACUACCUGGACCAGCACUGACACUGAGGCACGAAAGCGUGGGGAGCAAACAGG
rnacentral:rRNA from 1 species